CAAUAAAGGGUUCCGACAUGUCGUAUAGACCAUGAGAGGGUUCCGACUGUAGGUGACUUUAGAUUAUUAUACAGCUGUUGAUGAGAGAUGCACUAGAGCGUAUUCUUACACCAUUCUUGUCGUACAUACGACUUCAGGUAGUUCUGAUUUAUGUGCACCGUAGUGCCGUACAGAUCACAGUUGGUGACUCUGGUUGGAUUGGAUAUUGAGCUAUAGAAUUAACCAUACAGGACCAGCUGCACGGUCUCCGGUUGAUUUAUCAUUUCACCUAAUUUAUAUUGAUGCAUCCAUAUUAUGUUUUGAUGCAUUGCAUGGCAUAUUUUCUGAAAAGUGUUAAAGGAUUGUGAUUUGAGAUAUUUGCUGAUAUAUAUGGUUAUAUAAAUUAUUUUCUAGGAAAGUAUACAGGUUUUUCAGCAAGGGGUUAUGAAUGUUGAUAAAUGAGAU
rnacentral:lncRNA from 1 species